rnacentral:rRNA from 1 species
CCUACGGGUGGCAGCAGUGAGGAAUAUUGGUCAAUGGGCGCGAGCCUGAACCAGCCAAGUAGCGUGAAGGAUGACUGCUCUACGGGUUGUAAACUUCUUUUAUAAAGGAAUAAAGUGAGGCACGUGUGCCUUUUUGUAUGUACUUUAUGAAUAAGGAUCGGCUAACUCCGAGCCAGCAGCCGCGGUAAUACGGAGGAUCCGAGCGUUAGCCGGAUUUAUUGGGAUUAAAGGGAGCGUAGAUGGGUUGUUAAGUCAGUUGUGAAAGUUUGCGGCGCAACCGUAAAAUUGCAAUUGAUACUGGCGGUCUAGAGUGCAGGUGAGGUAAGCGGAAUUCGUGGUGUAGCGGUGAAAUGCUUAGAUAUCACGAAGAACACCGAUUGCGAAGGCAGCUUACUAGACUGCCACUGACGUUGAGGCUCGAAAGUGUGGGUAUCAAACAGGAUUAGAUACCCCAGUAGUC